rfam:Colletotrichum salicis strain CBS 607.94 Scaffold_693.1, whole genome shotgun sequence.
GUCAAGGUGCCAGAGUGGUUAAUGGGCUGCCCUGCUAUCAUACCUUGAUUCCAGAUUAGGCAGUGGCUUCGGUCGCGCAGGUUCGAAUCCUGUCCUUGACG